GGAACCUGGGCAGUCGCUCUCCGUUUCGGCAACGGGACGGGGAGAGGAAAGUCCGGACACCACAGGAUGCUUCGCCCUGGGAAACCGGGGGCGGCCUCGGGGCGACCCGGAGUUGACGGAAAGUGUCACAGAAAAAAGACCGCCCUGCCUCGCCUUGGCGAAGCAGGGUAAGGGUGAAACGGUGGGGUAAGAGCCCACCCCGACGCCGGGUGACCGGCGCAGGGACAAACCCCGGAGGGUGCAAGGCCGAGCAGGGAAGACGGGUGAUCCGCCCGUUCCGCGCAAGCGGAACCUUCCCGGGUUGGAGCCGCACCGAAGGCCGCUUGGCGGUCUUUGGAGUCUGCUGAAAAGCGGGCUAGAGAAAUGGCUGCCAAACCGCCGGAGAAAUCCGACGGGGUCCAGAAUCCGGCUUACGGGUUCCGCGG
rnacentral:RNase_P_RNA from 1 species